GUGGGGAAUAUUGCACAAUGGGCGAAAGCCUGAUGCAGCAACGCCGCGUGAGGGAAGACGGUUUUCGGAUUGUAAACCUUUGUCCUUGGUGAAGAUAAUGACGGUAGCCGAGGAGGAAGCCACGGCUAACUACGUGCCAGCAGCCGCGGUAAUACGUAGGUGGCAAGCGUUGUCCGGAAUUACUGGGUGUAAAGGGAGCGCAGGCGGGAGAGCAAGUCAGUGGUGAAAUGCAUGGGCUUAACCCAUGAACUGCCAUUGAAACUGUUUUUCUUGAGUGGAUCAGAGGCAAGCGGAAUUCCGAGUGUAGCGGUGAAAUGCGUAGAUAUUCGGAGGAACACCAGUGGCGAAGGCGGCUUGCUGGGGUCUAACUGACGCUGAGGCUCGAAAGUGUGGGGAGCAAACAGG
rnacentral:rRNA from 1 species